GGCUCCGGCGCGGGGAGCGUGUCCAGGGCGGGACUUAAAGCUUACAGGGACGCGGGCUGGACGGACUGGGGCGUGGCGGGUGUCAGCGAGUGACGUAUCCGGCGUGAGGGGCGUGGCUAUACGUAAGGGACGUGGACAAGAUGGCCGCGCACAGGAGACUCGUGUUCCCAUGCCAGGACAGCGGUUUGCGUUUAGGGAAACAUGGGUACGAUCUGCCGGCUUGUGGAGCGUGCACAGAGGAGGAACGUAAUCUGCCAGAAAGGAGAGGGAUCCCCUCGCGCGCGAACGUGCGUUGCGGUGGGUCCCGGAGCUGAGACAGCAUUUGGCCCCGCGAAUGGCCGCGGUCCGGCGGGCUUCUCUGAAAAAAGGAGGUGAUUAGUUUCCUUCAAGUUAUUUGGGAACUGAUCAAGAUUUCAAGCUACAGGUGAAGGUGACAAAGAGCCUGAGAGUCAUUUCAAGUGGAUCCAUCCAAGUCACUGUGGAGGAGAUUCCAGAUCCAGAGCUCCAUGCUGGAGACUGGGACCUAGCCUUGCACCCACUCUUGGAGAGCAUGGACCUGGUUCCGGAGGGCGAUCGCCAAUCACCCAUCAACAUCCGGUGGAGGGACAAUGUCUACGAUCCAGCCACCUGCCUCCACGUCUGGAAUAACAGGUAUUCUUUCCUCGUGGAAUUUGAAGAUUCUUCAGCUAAAUCAGGUGAAAGGCAGCCUGGUGGUCUCACCUCGGGUGAAAGGGAUGGUUGUAAUCAGCACAGACCAUGACACUGACCCCAUCAGCUCAUCUGUCUCCAGAACUCUUCUCCAUCUUGCAAACUAAAACUAUUUGGCCAUUAAACAGUAGUUCCCAAUUUCCCUCCCUGCCCCUUCCUUCCCCACACCCCCCUGCCAGGCUGUGGCAAUGAUCAUUUUACUUUCUGUCUCUAUGAAUUUGACUACUGGGUACCUCAUGUAAGUGGAAUCAUACAGUAUCUGUCCUUUUAUGACUGGGUGGUUUCAGUUAGCAUAAUACCCUCAAAGUUCAUCCAUGAAUGUCUUUCCUUCCUAAGACCAAUUAACAUCAUUGUAUGCACAGACCACUUUUUUUGAAUAAAAUUUAGCAGUCACUUGAAUUGCUACCACUUUCGGCUAUUGUGAAAAAUGCUACUAUGAGCAUGGAUGUACAUGUGUAUUUUCAACAUGCUGUUUUCAAUUCCUUUGGCUGUGUGCCCAGAAGCUGGAUCAUCAGUGUUCUUUUUGAUUGUAUGAAAAAUGUCCCUUCUCUUUUUAAUGCAUGUUUCCUUCUAGUAUGUUAGCAUUUUCUAUUAAUAUCUAUACUGUAUGUAUAGAUUCUGUAAUUGCUAAAGAAAAUAGGGCAUGUAAUUAAAGUUUUACCUGGAAAAUUUUUUGUUUGUGUUCAAUCUGUGCUAGUCUUCUGCUUGGUGACUUUAAAAAUGACUUCUGUACAAUAGUAGUAUUAUAUAGUCAGAUGUAAAUGAUAAACAUGGAAUAUAGAACAAAGGGAUAUUUCACUAAGAAAAAGACAUUUUAGGGUCUCCCUUGUGGUGCAAGGGGUUAAGACACAAUGUACGAAGCUGUCCGCAGCCACUGCAGCCAGAGUUUGAUCCUCAGCCAGGGAGCUACCCACAGGUACAGUAGAUGUCUCCUGUCUCCCCCGCUGCUCCCCUCAGCAGUGUAUUUCAGUACAUCUGCCUGUUCAGCUCCCCACUCUGUCUCUG